ACGAAAUCGACAGAUUGAUGAACAAAGAAGUUACUAAGCAGGUCUUACCCUCAAAAUCUAGAUGAUAAGACUGGUGAAAACAUUGUACUAAGCAGGUGAAUGCAGACAAGAAUGAAAUGUUUUAUUCAGGAUAAAAGCUGCAAUCAUAAAACCACUCCAAC